CCCGCUGAAUUUAAGCAUAUAACUAAGCGGAGGGAAAGGAAACUAACGAGGAUUCCCUUAGUAACUGCGAGUGGAAGGGGGA
rnacentral:ncRNA from 1 species